rnacentral:rRNA from 1 species
CACGGGGGGAGCAAGCGUUGUUCGGAAUUACUGGGCGUAAAGGGCUCGUAGGUGGCCAACUAAGUCGGACGUGAAAUCCCUCGGCUUAACCGGGGAACUGCGUCCGAUACUGGUUGGCUUGAGUUUGGGAGAGGGACGGGGAAUUCCAGGUGUAGCGGUGAAAUGCGUAGAUAUCUGGAGGAACACCGGUGGCGAAGGCGGCAUCCUGGACCAAUACUGACGCUGAGGAGCGAAAGCCAGGGGAGCAAACGGG